UGUUGGUGGUUGGUUUUGAUGUUGUCUUCUGUCCUCUGUCUUCUUUUAUCUUUUACAGUCUUCUUGGUCCUUGGUGUAGGUUGUGGGACGUGUGUUCGUCGUGGAUUCUUUUGGUUUUGUGUUUGUUGGCAUUAUGCAUGGACGUAAGACCCCCCUAGUUCACAUUCCGCGCCCUGGCCUCAGCGCGGAACAAUAUAUUGAACUAUUCCUGCGUCAGCACGUGGUUCCAAUAGCGGCUGAGGUGCACAACUUCGUGCUGAUGCAAGAUAAUGCGCGCCCCCACACCGCGCGCAUUACUCAGACCUUUUUGGCGGAAAACAAUAUUACACUAAUGAAGAAACCGCGAGCAACCGUAAGCACGAAUUUAAAUCUAAUAGAACAUUUAUGGGAUAACCUCAAACGACGUAUUACGGACCACGUUCCUCCUCCGCGGACCCAAGCAGAGCUGAUUCAAAUCGCGCAAGAGGAGUGGGACGCGAUCCUUAUCAGUGUCGUGAAUAAAUUAAUUGCAAGUAUGCCGCACCGCUUUGAGGCGGUUAUCAAUGCACAAGGUGGAACCACCCAAUAUUAAAAAUGUAUAGUUUUUUGCUAAUUAUUAAGUUUGUAAAUAGUGUAAAUACUGUAAAUACUGUAACAUUAUUUGUAAUUCACAGUUUUUUUUUAAGUUUUUCGCUAAUUAUUAAGUUUGUAAAUAGUGUAAAAUUUUUUGUUAUUUGUAAGUUUUUCUUAACGGCUUUAUUAAAUUUUAAAUGAAUUAAAUUUGACUUAAAGAUUACAAUUCCAAAAAUUAAAGUUUUUGUCCUUUUUUUAUGCAAAUUGUCUUCGAAAUCGGGUGUUUAUUUUUCGCCACGCACGAAACUCUUCUGUUAAAUUAAAAAGCAAAAAUUAACCCUUCCGCUUUGGCAGGGCAUUUUUCUAACACACGCAUUGGAACAUUGUAAGAGCGCGGCGCGACCCCGCGAGGAACGCAGAAGACAGGGAAAGUGGAAGAGUACCGAGCGGGGUACGAUGGGUUGCCUAGCUGCCGGGCGCUCUUGAAUGCUGGCUCCGUCCGGCUCACUUAACUACUCUUUCAAAUCUGCUCCGAUUUAACAACGAAAGCGUGUGUUACGUAUACAGAAACUCUCCGUUUUCCGAAGCUCGCGUUCAUCAAUUUUAUUUUAUCUACCCUCCUGGAAUUUGGAGCUCGGUCUCACUGGAGUGCAUCCUGCAGCUGCAUCCUCUUAAUAUCAUCUUUGACUCGCGUUGCGUGGGAUACUUUCUAAUCUACCCUUUUCCCAGGGCACACAGCUGCCGACCUCAGAGCAACGAAAAUCCUAACCGUCAAAUUUCCUAAUAUGGAAAUCACUGGCAGUUCCCCACCAACAUUUAGGGGUAUAUAAACCCACGAUUUUCGUUGCUCGUGGGCUAGUACGAAAGAGUUACUCGUUAGAGACACAUUGAUCGUCUGUAGAGUAGUACUCUAGUGAGAUCGGGCUUCAGUUCCUUUCGAUCAUCGUUACCAUAUAGAUCCGCGAAGACGGUUUUAAAAUCUAUUACGGCCAUAAAAGUACUCUCGACCCCCGCAUCGCCAGUGCGUCAACACCGCGCAACACUUAGGUAAUUUUAACUUCAUACACUAACCGCAACAACACGACACUGGACACUUGUAAUUAGUAUAGUUAUUUUGAAUAUAUACUCUUUGUGUAUACUUAAAAGUCUGUAAGAUCAAUCAUCAAACCUUUACUUUGAAAUCACCAAUCCUAGCCAGUGUAACGAUCCCACAACAUAAUAACUUUACCGCUCGAAUUAUUAUUCUAUUAAAUUAACAAGUUGCGAGGCUUUAUCCGCGACGCGUAGUAUUCAUUAUCGAUACGAUUUAGUCAUUGUGUACUCAACCCGAACUCCUAAACUUAACCUAUCCUGCGGUUACCCUUUACUGGGAGAUACCAAUUCCCAGCAGCUACCUGACUUCGCGUCAGAGGCGUCUGCGUUGUCUAAUCUAUCCUCAGCCUUCGGCACCAUUGAUACACAAUAAUUAAUCGUAUUGGUUCAAUUCUCAAAUCUAUCCCACUCGCUGGGCUCACACGCGCGUCGCUAUCGCCCUGGCUCGUAACACGUGAUUAAAAAAAUCUGAAUUUUUGGGGACCUGUUAAUAAAGCAUUCGCGCAUCCGAUACCAUGAACGGCAUUGACGUGGGGUUGCUCGUUCACCCUGCAGAUGGGCCUGAAGUUGGGGGUGGGUUUUCCCUAAAAAACAUUUUCGUAUUUUAUUGCCAUUCACGCGGGAAAAAGACAUCAAAACUGUGUCGCACCGAUGCCCUGGACUAUUGGACAUGUAAUUCAUGCAACGAAGCAACGUUCCAACCCUUACACUUGGGGGUGGACCACCCCUACCUCUGCCCUACUUCAGCUCCGUGGGCAGUUUUCGAAACGGGACCUUUUCGGCAUUCAUCCUUAACAUAUCGAGAACAAAUACGGUGAAUUUCAUCGCCGUUUAAUGUGUGGAAGUGCUCCCUUACGAAGGGGGUUGAAAAUUCGCGAGCUGUUCCACCCCCCAAGGGGUGGCUAUGGGGUGUACGGUAUGGGUGAUGGCAUUUUCUGGAUCGGGGGGUCCGGAGAAUGCAUUGAGCCCAAAAUCGAGACCGUCGUCCAAAAAUUGUGGAUUUUAGAGGGGGUGCAUUUUGUAGAGGGCAUCAAGGAGAGUCGCCCCAAAGGUUUUUUUGAAUUUUUCAACCUCUUCCGUCAUCCCUGGCCUGUUUAAAGAGGCGUUUUUCUACACCCUCCCCUUUAGGGGGAUGAAUUAAUCCCUUCGCGUCAACCUUCGCCAAUGCAACUUUACACACGCCUAGGGGACACUUUAAAAGUACUCCUCACGCAGUUUCAUUUCAAUCGGUUGAAAACUCCCAUAGUUACGACGGUUUGAAAAAGUGUCCCGCUAAUUUUUGGGAGUAGUGUAUAUACGUUGAAUUUUCCGGUUUUCCAAUUUUUCUCCGUUUCUCAUUAUCCAAUCGAAAAAUUGGACGUCUCAUUCUAUAGGUAUUUUCAUCAUCUACAUUUCAUCUGCUUCGAGCAUUAAUAUUGCUGCAUUAGUUCAAAAUUUAUAAGCAAGAAACGACAAAAAUCAAGAUUUUCUUGGAUUAAAUUGUUUAUAACAAGAAAACGGAACAGAGUUGAGAGUGAAAAACAUAUACCUAUUCAUCUACACAUCCCCUUUUACGUAAUUGCAGAAUCGGUUUGCUGUUAGUACUUUUAUCACCAAAACGCUGUUUUAAUUCUCUACCGAUUGGCCUAGUUGUAUUGCUGACGAUUGGAGGAAAGUUGUUUUUGUGACGUAUCUCGUGCCUGUAUCGGGACAAACGAUGAUGCUGGAAAAUUCGUUUGGAAAAUAAUGAAUGAAAAGUUUUAUCUAGACUGUUUGAAGUUUAAGGGGUUAGUCGCAGUCAGGAAAAUGGAAACGGACAAUUUCUUGUGUUUUUUUUAAGGUAUUAAAUAAUAAUUUUCAUUAAUGAAAUGUAAAUAUAUUACAAAGUAUGUCUUCAAGAAUUAUAAAAGAAUUUUUGUUUUAAGAAAAGGUUAAUUCAUUUCGUCAUAACAGGCGAUGGCGUGGGUGGCCACUUGCUUUGCGGUGAGUAAGAUUUCUUCAAACUGGUGCACCUGAAAACAAAACUAAAGGUAGAUUUAGAAAAUAUAUUAGACUAACGGGUCCCUGAACGAAUGAUUUUUUAUUUUCUUGUAUACUUUUUCUUAUCCUGUAUUCAAUUGCUUAAUUUUAGUGAAAAAAUUGAAAAUCAACUUCAAAUGUACGCCAUCUUGUUUUAAAUUAAUUUUUUCCAAAAUCCUUCGUUCAGGGACCCGCUAGACUAAUCUAUUUUCGAAAUCUACCUUUGUUUUUGUUUUUAGGUAAACCUCAGGUGUAGAGGUGUAGAGAAAUCUUGGUCACCGCAAACGUAUGUUUUUAAGUCAUCGACUGUUAUGACGAUAUAAAUUAAACGUUUCUCAAAACAAAAAAUGUUUUUUAGUUCUUUAAAACAUGCUUUAUAAUAUACUUAACUGUUACUUAUGCAAAUUAUUAUUUAAUAACUAAAAAAAAAUCACAAAGAAAUGUCGUUUUUCCUCUUCCUGACUGCGACUAACCGCUUAGGCAGAAAUACCCAGAAUCGUAUGUGGUGCGAAGUUGUAUAAAGUUGUGUGUAGUUGUCAUCGUAGCAAAUUAGUACAAAAUUAUUUAAUGAAUUGUUACGAGCCAGGGCGAUAGCGACGCGCGUGUGAGCCCUGUGAGUGGGUUGAAUUCAAGAAUCGAAGAAGAUACGAUUAGUCCUGUUUAUUUCAAUGGAUCCAAAGAUUGAAGAUGGAGUAGAAAUCGCAGACGACUCUGACGCGAAACCAGAUAGCUGCUGGGAAUUGGUAUCUCCCAAUUAAGGGUAACCGUAGGAUCGGUAUCUCCCGGUAAAGGGUAACCGUUGGAGAGGUUAGAUAAGGAUUGAAUCGUAUCGUUGGAAUAUAAUACGCGUCGUGGAUAAAGUCUCGCAACUAUUAAUUCUAGACAAAUAAUAACUCGAGCAGUAAAGUUAUUAUGUUGUGGGGUCGUUACACUGGUUAGGAUUGCUUAUUCCAAUGGUGAAGGUUUAAUAACGAUUUAACAGACCUUUUAAGGUUAACAAAUGAUUAUAUAUUCAAAACUGAAUAAUUCUAAUAAUGCAAUUGUACAGUGUCGUGUUGUCGCGGUUAGUGUAUGAAUUUAGUUACCUAAUUGUUGCACGGUGUUAACGCACUGGCGAUGCGGGGGUCGAGAAUGUUUCUAUGCCGUAAUAGAUUUUGUACCGUCCUCGCGGAUCUAUAUGGUUAAUGUUGAUCGAAAGAGACCUGAAUCCCGAUCUCACUGAAGCGCAACUCUGAAGACGAUCGACGUGACUUUACCAAGUAACUCUUUCGUACUAAUCCCUCGAGUAACGAAAAUCAUGGGUUUAUAUACCCCUAGAUAUUGGUGGGGAUACGUCAGUGAUUCCCAUAUAUGGAAAUUUGGCGGUUGAGAUUUUCGUUACUCAGAGGUGAACAUCUGUGGGGCUUUAGAGAAAGUUUAGAUAAAGGGUUACCCACGCAACGCGAGUUAAAAGAUGAUUCUGAGAAAAGUAUGGUACAGCUGGAGGGUGCACUUCGGUAAGACCAGACUCCACAUUCCAAGGGGUAGAUAAAAUAAAUAGACGCGAGCUUCGAAAAGAACGGGUGUGCAUACGUAACAGAAUAAUCAGUUAGAAGUAUUACAAGUAACGGUUCCUUCGAUCGUAAAGGAAAUUUCGGAGGCAUCGACAAGUCUUCGAGGACCCCCAAACGCAGGCAUGCCCCCCACCCGCGCUUCAAGGGGGCUGGCCAAAGGGGACCUGGAGGUGUCGUCGCGAACGCCGUCACUUCAGUUGAAAACGUCGAAACGUGAAGAAUUUAAAAACGAAGUGACAUUGAAUAUUUAAGAAUGAGCAGCCUGGAGGAAGUUACAUACGGGAUUGACAGGUUGUCCUUCUGGGACAACAACUACACGAGACAUGAACAAUAUGGGGUAACAUUUUUAAUGGCACCCCUCGGUAUGUCGCAGCCCCCCCUGCCACCCCACUUCUGUUGUGGGCAUACCGCAGGCCCCGCCGCCACCACCAGCCUUCGCGGCGGCUGACCAGCAUCCGCAACGCGAGACUGUGAGUAACAGGCACCGGCGGCAGCGGCAAAAUAGACGCCGCAGAAGGACCGCGGCAAGAAAUGAAAUACUAACGCGGCCUCCACCCGCGAGAAAGCAACAACCGAGACGGCAGGGGCCGAUCAAUAAAUAUAUUUAUAUUACACAAAGUUUAAAAAAAAAUAAAAUUAUCAAGUGUAUAUUACCUUAAUUUGUGUUUCCCAUAUACACCCUAGUCCAGAAGUUCCCCAACUUUUUCCCAAACUUCGCUCGCUUUAUGUCGGUGAAUCAGGGCCUUCG